rnacentral:tRNA from 13 species
GAAUCCGUGUCGCAAUCGGAUAGCGCGUUCGUCUAUUAACCGAAAGAGUGGUGGUUCCAGCCCACCCGGGGGCA